UUGCACACAUCUUCAAGUCUUGUCAGUGCCAAGUUGUCACAGAUCUGGAAUACUGUAAAUUACGCACAUAGUGGUUAGAGCGUUGGGCAAGUAACCGAAAGUUUGCUGGAUCGAAUUCCCGAGCUGACAAGUUGAGAUCCAGGAAAUGUCAAGGACCUGGAAGACAAGAAGGACGUUACAUGCAAUUAGAACCCUGCUGAGAUCUUUUGUCUAGGUGUGCAGAGGCAGCGUGGACCAUGGCCCCAUUUACGCCAUAUGCUAUAAAAGGUCUGUCAGACCCAAUGAAGACCAAAAUGUGACAUCACAACUGACCAUGUUCAUCACUGGAUGGACACUGCUUUCAGCUUCACAUCUCAAACCAGUGAUGGCCGAUCAGCUUUUUAACGUCAGGCAAAAUAUUGCACCUGAAUGUAUUUAUUGAAACCAAUACAAAGCUACAGAGCAGUGCUCAUACAGUACAGAAUCACAUUAGAAAUGUUGGUAAUGUCAGGGAUUUUGAGGAGAAUUGUAUUUAUUUUAUACAAUGGCUAGGUAUUGCUGACUGUAUCACUGUCUGUAUUCUCUUAUAAAAUUAUAUUGGCAUCUGAAAUCUCUUUUUAAGCAGUAUCCUGUUCAACAAAGAGAACAUGAUUGUUUAAAACGUUAAUGCCUAGAAUAACAGGCAGUUGUUUGCCUGGAUAUAUGCAUUUUAUUUGACAUUAUUACAUGUUAUAAACCCUACAAUGCGUGCCUACAUGUCAUAGAACAUUGCAUUACAAAAGUAUUGCGCUAUAAGGAAGUUACUGAGAAAUAAAUAAUAUAACAUUUACUGUAAAUAAAGGUUAAAUAAAAUAAAAAUGUACUGUCGUGAAAUGGGUGGUGCCAACAGGAAGGUCUUACUGUGCCUUGUCUGUGUUGCUUGACUAUAAAGCUGCUUCUUUCCACAUUUUUUUUAAUAAUGAUUGGGGGCCAACAGACUUUACAAUAAAA
rnacentral:lncRNA from 1 species